rnacentral:rRNA from 1 species
GACGAACGCUGGCGGCGUGCUUAACACAUGCAAGUCGAACGGAAAGGCCCUGCUUUUGUGGGGUGCUCGAGUGGCGAACGGGUGAGUAACACGUGAGUAACCUGCCCUUGACUUUGGGAUAACUUCAGGAAACUGGGGCUAAUACCGGAUAGGAGCUCCUGCUGCAUGGUGGGGGUUGGAAAGUUUCGGCGGUUGGGGAUGGACUCGCGGCUUAUCAGCUUGUUAGUGGGGUAGUGGCUUACCAAGGCUUUGACGGGUAGCCGGCCUGAGAGGGUGACCGGCCACAUUGGGACUGAGAUACGCCCAGACUCCUACGGGAGGCAGCAGUGGGGAAUAUUGCACAAUGGGCGGAAGCCUGAUGCAGCAACGCCGCGUGCGGGAUGACGGCCUUCGGGUUGUAAACCGCUUUCGCCUGUGACGAAGCGUGAGUGACGGUAAUGGGUAAAGAAGCACCGGCUAACUACGUG